UACGUAGGGUGCAAGCGUUAAUCGGAAUUACUGGGCGUAAAGCGUGCGCAGGCGGUUUUGUAAGACUGUCGUGAAAUCCCCGGGCUUAACCUGGGAAUGGCGAUGGUGACUGCAAGGCUAGAGUUUGGCAGAGGGGGGUAGAAUUCCACGUGUAGCAGUGAAAUGCGUAGAUAUGUGGAGGAACACCGAUGGCGAAGGCAGCCCCCUGGGUCAAAACUGACGCUCAGGCACGAAAGCGUGGGGAGCAAACAGG
rnacentral:rRNA from 1 species